rnacentral:rRNA from 1 species
AGAGUUUGAUCCUGGCUCAGGAUGAACGCUGGCGGCGUGCCUAAUACAUGCAAGUCGGACGAAGCAUCUUCAGAAACUUGUUUCAGGAGAUGACUGAGUGGCGAACGGGUGAGUAACGCGUUGGUGACCUGCCCCGGAGAGGGGGAUAACAGUUCGAAAGGACUGCUAAUACCCCAUGAAUUCUAGGAAGUUAGAGGAUUCUAGAAGAAAGGCCUCGGUCGCUUCGGGAGGGACCUGCGUCCCAUCAGCUAGUUGGUAGGGUAACGGCCUACCAAGGCGAAGACGGGUAGGGGACCUGAGAGGGUGACCCCCCACAAUGGAACUGAAACACGGUCCAUACACCUACGGGUGGCAGCAGUAGGGAAUAUUGCACAAUGGGCGAAAGCCUGAUGCAGCAACGCCGCGUGUGCGAAGAAGGCCUUCGGGUUGUAAAGCACUUUUCGGGGAGAAGAGGAAGGACGGUAUCCCCAGAAUAAGGUUCGGCUAACUACGUGCCAGCAGCCGCGGUAAAACGUAGGAACCGAGCGUUAUCCGAAUUCACUGGGCGUAAAGCGCAUGCAGGCGGUACGUUAAGUUGGAUGUGAAAGCUCCCGGCUCAACUGGGAGAGGACGUACAAAACUGGCGAACUAGAGGGCGGCAGAGGGAGGUGGAAUUCCCGGUGUAGUGGUGAAAUGCGUAGAUAUCGGGAGGAACACCAGAGGCGAAGGCGGCCUCCUGGGCCGCGCCUGACGCUAAGAUGCGAAAGCUAGGGGAGCGAACGGGAUUAGAAACCCCGGUAGUCCUAGCUGUAAACGAUGUAGACUUGGUGUUGGUGGGGUAAAAGCCAUCAGUGCCGGAGCAAACGCGGUAAGUCUACCGCCUGGGGACUACGGCCGCAAGGCUAAAACUCAAAGGAAUUGACGGGGGCCCGCACAAGCAGCGGAGCGUGUGGUUUAAUUCGAUGCUACGCGAAGAACCUUACCCGGGUUUGACAUUGAGGUGGUAGGGAAUCGAAAGAGGACCGACCCUUCGGGGAGCCUGAACAGGUGCUGCAUGGCUGUCGUCAGCUCGUGCCGUGAGGUGUCCGGUUAAGUCCGGUAACGGGCGCAACCCUUGCCGUAUGUUACAAGUGUCAUACGGGACUGCCGGUAUAAAGCCGGAGGAAGGUGGGGAUGACGUCAAGUCAGCAUGGCCUUUAUAUCCGGGGCUACACACACGCUACAAUGGUCAGUACAAUAGGUAGCAAAACUGCGAAGUGGGGCCAAUCCAUAAAGCUGGCCACAGUUCAGAUUGCAGGCUGCAACUCGCCUGCAUGAAGUCGGAGUUGCUAGUAACCGCGCGUCAGCAACAGUGCGGUGAAUACGUUCCCGGGCCUUGUACACACCGCCCGUCACGUCAUGGAAGCUGGCAACACCUGAAGCCGGUAUCCUAACCGAAAGGAGGGAGCCGUCGAAGGUGGGGUUGGUGACUGGGACGAAGUCGUAACAAGGUAGGUGUACCGGAAGGUGCGGCUGGAUCACCUCCUU